GCGCGAAAACCUCCGCAAUGUGAGAAAUCGCGACGGGGGGAUCCCAAGUGCCAUUCUUAACGGGAUGGCUUUUCAUUAGUGUAAAGAGCUUUUGGAAUAAGAGCUGGGCAAGACCGGUGCCAGCCGCCGCGGUAACACCGGCAGCUCUAGUGGUAGCAGUUUUUAUUGGGCCUAAAGCGUCCGUAGCCGGUUUAAUAAGUCUCUGGUGAAAUCCUGCAGCUUAACUGUGGGAAUUGCUGGAGAUACUAUUAGACUUGAGAUCGGGAGAGGUUAGAGGUACUCCCAGGGUAGAGGUGAAAUUCUGUAAUCCUGGGAGGACCGCCUGUUGCGAAGGCGUCUGACUGGAACGAUUCUGACGGUGAGGGACGAAAGCUAGGGGCGCGAACCGGAUUAGAUACCCUGGUA
rnacentral:rRNA from 1 species